UAGAUUGUAUUUGCAAUGCUAUUUUUGC
rnacentral:sRNA from 1 species